UGGGGAAUCUUGGACAAUGGGCGCAAGCCUGAUCCAGCCAUGCCGCGUGGAUGAUGAAGGCCUUAGGGUUGUAAAAUCCUUUCGUUGGGGACGAUAAUGACGGUACCCAAAGAAGAAGCUCCGGCUAACUUCGUGCCAGCAGCCGCGGUAAUACGAAGGGGGCUAGCGUUGUUCGGAUUUACUGGGCGUAAAGCGCGUGUAGGCGGACUUGUAAGUUGGGGGUGAAAUCCCGAGGCUCAACCUCGGAACUGCCUCCAAAACUACAAAUCUGGACCUAAGUAGAGGCAAGUGGAAUUGCGAGUGUAGAGGUGAAAUUCGUAGAUAUUCGCAGGAACACCAGUGGCGAAGGCGACUUGCUGGACUUAUGGUGACGCUGAGACGCGAAAGCGUGGGGAGCAAACAGGAUUAGAUACCCUAGUAGUCCCUGAGCGGGCUGGCAAGGCGCAU
rnacentral:rRNA from 1 species